rnacentral:rRNA from 1 species
GACGAACGCUGGCGGCGUGCCUAACACAUGCAAGUCGAACGGAAAGGCCCUGCUUUUGUGGGGUGCUCGAGUGGCGAACGGGUGAGUAACACGUGAGUAACCUGCCCUUGACUUUGGGAUAACUUCAGGAAACUGGGGCUAAUACCGGAUAGGAGCUCCUGCUGCAUGGUGGGGGUUGGAAAGUUUCGGCGGUUGGGGAUGGACUCGCGGCUUAUCAGCUUGUUGGUGGGGUAGUGGCUUACCAAGGCUUUGACGGGUAUCCGGCCUGAGAGGGCGACCGGCCACAUUGGGACUGAGAUACGGCCCAGACUCCUACGGGAGGCAGCAGUGGGGAAUAUUGCACAAUGGGCGGAAGCCUGAUGCAGCAACGCCGCGUGCGGGAUGACGGCCUUCGGGUUGUAAACCGCUUUCGCCUGUGACGAAGCGUGAGUGACGGUAAUGGGUAAAGAAGCACCAGCUAACUACGUG